rnacentral:snRNA from 1 species
GAAUGUGAGGGCGAUCUGGCUGCGACAUCUGUCACCCCAUUGAUCACCAGGGUUGAUUUGGCUGAUCUGGCUGGCUAGGGGGGUGUCCCCUCCCUCCCUCACCGCUCCAUGUGUGUCCCUCCCGACACUGUGCACUUGGUGGAAGAGGACGACUUCCCUGGUAUAGAAGGAGUGUACCGAGGUCUCCAGUAUUUGGUCCCGGGUAUACGAUGUUGGAGUAUGGUUGUAUUUGUAUGAAAUGUAAAUCAAGUGUUUACUGCUGAUGAGCAAGAGUGUGUAUUUUU